rnacentral:rRNA from 1 species
AUGCACGCUGGCGGCGUGCCUAAUACAUGCAAGUCGAGCGAACAGACGAGGAGCUUGCUCCUCUGACGUUAGCGGCGGACGGGUGAGUAACACGUGGAUAACCUACCUAUAAGCCUGGGAUAACUUCGGGAAACCGGAGCUAAUACCGGAAAAUAAAUUAAACCGCAUGGUUCAAUAGUGAAAGAGGGUUUUGCUUUCACUUAUAGAUGGAUCCGCGCCGCAUUAGCUAGUUGGUAAGGUAACGGCUUACCAAGGCGACGAUGCGUAGCCGACCUGAGAGGGUGAUCGGCCACACUGGAACUGAGACACGGUCCAGACUCCUACGGGAGGCAGCAGUAGGGAAUCUUCCGCAAUGGGCGAAAGCCUGACGGAGCAACGCCGCGUGAGUGAUGAAGGUCUUCGGAUCGUAAAACUCUGUUAUUAGGGAAGAACAAAUGUGUAAGUAACUAUGCACGUCUUGACGGUACCUAAUCAGAAAGCCACGGCUAACUACGUG